UAGGAAAACUUCCCCGAUCUUCAAGGCUGAACACAUUUUUUAAAGCAGUAAAUGCAUAAGCAAAUGCGGCAAAGUAACUACAUUCCAACCUCUGUUCCCCCGGUAGCUGCGUGCAAGGGAAAGGAGGCGAAAGAGGAAGAAAGGAAUGGGGUUGGCUUUUAAAGUGGUUGUGUCGGAAACUGCUGACCCUCUGCCUGCUACCUGGAGAACAGAAACGGAACGAGGCCACAAUUUAGCAUCCAGCUACCCAAAAUCAGAGAAUCCUACACUGGAAAUGUUGCAGAAACCACACAUCUAAGAUCAUGCUGAGGAGCACGUGAAACUUUGAUGGACUUGCAGCUGUUUCUACGGUUUCAUCCUUGAUGUCCAGAUUGGUAUCACUAACAUUAACACAACAGCAAAUAGCUGCUCCUACUUCUGCUCCCAGCAAGACUCUGCCCUUACAGAUGUAAGCAAGCCUGAUGACAGACACUGAUGAUUGCUAAGGCCAGUUGAUUCCAGAAGGAGUUUUCCCCACUUCCUUAUGGAGUAACUCAUGUCAAGCAGGAUGUAACAUCACAACUAAGGAUGAUCUUUCAUUUGCAAAGAACGUGAAAAUACUAUGGAAAUGUUGAAUGUUUUUAGAAACAGAAACUUAGAUAGCAUCGGUUAUCUAGAGAGAAACUGAAAACUCUGGUUUCAAACUGUGCCUGU